GCACUGCUGAGGUGGUGGUUGUGCCUCCCCUCUCUUAGCACCACACUCCUCCGUCGAUCCCGGACCCCUGAUAAACCAGCAGGUCGUGAUGUAACCUGAAGUGCUUCUCACAGUUCCCUCUUGCAAACCCACAACAACAGACCAUCGUUAUUUUUAACGAAAUAUGAAUCAGUGUAUAUAUAAUGUUGGUAAUAAAUGUUUGAAGAAGUGUGAGUGUCACAGCCUGUAUGAUGGUUGGCACUGCUGAGGUAGAGAUGUAUGCCACCAUCAACUCUCACACAAGUCUCUGUCUACUUCUGCUUCUGUUCAUCACUAACGUUGCAGAUAUUGUUGCUGGUCUACACAUCACUAAGGUGACAGUGCCGACACCCGUUGCCGUGGGGGAAGGUGGGUGGCUGGAGUGCGAGUUUGUGGACGAGGGAGAGAGCAUCUACGCCCUCAAGUGGUACUUGGGACUGGACGAGAUCUACCGUUGGACUCCUGCGGAGAACCCGCCCAUCAAGACCUUCCCGGUGAAAGGCGACCCUUUGACUGUGGACACAGCCGCCUCAAACAGAGGCAAAGUUCGCAUCAACGACGUGACACUAGGCGCGUCAGGGGUCUUCCGCUGUGAAGUGUCUGCUGAGGCACCGGACUUUCACACCGAGUCUGAAGUUGCCACUAUGACUGUUGUGGACCUACCAGAUGAGGAUCCCAGGAUCAGCGGAGUUGGGUCCAACCACCAGCUACACCAGGAAGUGCUGGUGAACUGCUCAUCCCCGAGGUCUCAACCUCCAGCCUCCCUCACCUUCUACGUCAACCAGGAGCUGGUAACCUCUCUCCCCUCCACCACCAGCAGACCCGGGUUGGUUAAUCCAUUAUUCUCCCGUGGAGGACCCAGAGACGGGUCUGGAAACUGCGGUCUUGGGUCUGCGCUUUGCGCUUCGGCCCAGACUACUGCGUCGGAGCGGCAGCGUCUCCGUCAAGUGCACGGCUUCCAUUUUCAACGUCUACUUCCGGAGCACUGAAGCCUCAGUCACUGCUGAUGUUCCCUUCCACGCAUCCAUCAUGGAGGGUCGAGCUGCCGCCGCAGCCUCCGCCGCCCGAGGAUGUCCAGAAAGUGUGACCAGUGUCCUAACAGUGAUGAUAUCACUGGUCCUGCUGCUCCCGAGUCCCUCGGACAUCCUCCUCAUACCAUGAAGCUCCAGAUCCAAGCCGUAGGAAACGCUAAUGACUGCUUGUAGAUUCGUGUUCUCAGCUGCAAUAAAUCCUCAGCUGUCUCUGGCAAGACCUUGGACAUGUACAUCAUAUCAGGAGACGACUUAUGUUUGGCGUCCGCCCCAACCCAGUUCUAUUGUCAGACAGAAGUAAAGAUGUUUAUGUCUUUCUAACGCUUGUGUCGCUAGUGGAAACGACACAAACGUUAGAAAGACAUAAAAAUCUUCACGUAACUGCGUGUUGUAUCCCCUGGGGAUGUAAAACAUAUGUGUACUUUUAUUAUAUAUUUUGAUAAUUGUAUAAAAAUGGAUGUGAAAUACUUUUCUUCAGAUAUAUGAGCUCUCAGACCGACAUUCAGAAGUUAUUGUUUAUUUUUUAGGCGUUAGACGCUAAAGUUUUAAAUUAGAUUUUGUUAAAGUCUUAAUGCUUUGUCAUGUUGGUAACUUGAACAAAAGCGUUACUCGGGUGUUACCAAAACGUUACUAAUAUAGGUUACAGUGUUUAUGCUUAAAAUACAGACCUCCACAACAUAAGUCACUGAAGUGAAAAGUUACAAACGGUGAUGCAACAAGACACAGACUUCAGAUGUUUUUCAAUUCGUGAACUUACGAACUAAAUUAUUCAGGUAUAUUGCUGAUUGUAGUUGUAUUUUUACUUGAAGCCUCUACCCAUUUUUGAUACACUAGUGUGAGUCAUACAAGAUGUAUAAUUUCAAAUACAUUUUCCUUCUCUUUGAUCGUGACUGUUUUAGUGAAAAAUUAGGAUGUAUUUAUAUAGAAUGCGCACCAAGUCAACGAAUAUUUUUUGAGAGGCCUACUGUCCAAUAGGAGUAAUCUCUAUGUAAUAAUCAUAUAUUUUCAACAGUGUGAGCGUUUUCUUCCUUUGACACGAUUGCAAAGAAAUCAGGAAACGGGUGGGGUUUGAACCCAUGGCGAAUGAGUUCUGAUACUCACCGACAAGUGCACUGAUUCACUCGCCCUGAAUCAGGGCGAGUGAAUCAAACUGAGUUCAAACUGACCUGUGAGUUUGAGGACACACUCACCCUGGGUUCACUCUGACCUGUGAGUUUAAUUACUCACUCGCCCUUAGUUCAAACCACCACCCGGUCCCUGAUUUGAUUUUCUCCCUAACUUAGAAUUUUUAAUUAUGUUAAUCCAAAUUAAGGUAUGACGCUCUUAGCUCUUUCACUACAUUAAAACCUACGUAAAAAAUGACGAUCUACGUUGUUUUUCACGCAUAAUAUCCAGAAAUUUUAUAUAUAAUAUUAAUUAUCCAAGAAGCAUGUACACCGGGAGGUGUAUGUCGAAAUGAUUGUAACCCGCCGGGUUCGAUUCCCGGCGGGGUAGAAACCUGUGGUAGAAACAUUUCGACGCGUUUCUUUACACCUGUUGUCCUGUUCACCUAUCAACAAGUAGGUAUCUGGAUGUUAGUCGACUGGUGUGGGUCGCAUCCUGGGGGACAAGUUUUAGGACCCCAAUGGAAAUAAGACAGACAUCCUCGAUGACGCACUGACUUUCUUGGGUUACCCUGGGUGGCUAACCCUGCUGGGUUAAAAAUCCGAACGAAAUUUUAUCUUAUAUACAUGCUGAGAGUGUACUUCAAACUGCUGGUAGAUGGGCUACGAGCAGCCAACUAAUUAUAACGUCUAUAAUAUGUUUUAUGUUAUAUAAAGCGUUGGUUUAUUGUUUAGAAGGAAGUGUUGAGGACAAGUGAAGAGUGACUAAAGAAGAAUAAGGUAGGACACAGUAACUGGUAAAAUAAUUCUUAACCCGGACUUAAGAGCUCUGAGAGGCUUGUGACGACGUUUCCGUCCUACAUGGGCUGGUGUGACUUGUAAAUGGUCCAAACCUGUCCGAAACGUUGUCAUAAACUUCUCUCUCCUAUCUACUGGUUAUUUGUGUAUUGUAACAGUAAUUAUGUGAAGCCAAACACCUUGCCAGUUUGAGGAUUUUGAAGACGACGUAAUUUUUCUGAAUGUUUUGAAAGUGGCUUCAGUAGCUAGAGGGGCUUAAAUAAAUGUUUAGUCACGAAUUUAUUACGUUUUUAUGUAAUGAAAUGCGAGUACAUUUCUAUAAUGUAUUUAUGAAACA